GAUGAACGCUGGCGGCGUGCCUAAUACAUGCAAGUCGAGCGAACGGACGAGAAGCUUGCUUCUCUGAUGUUAGCGGCGGACGGGUGAGUAACACGUGGAUAACCUACCUAUAAAACUGGGAUAACUUCGGGAAACCGGAGCUAAUACCGGAUGAUAUUUUGAACCGCAUGGUUCAAAAGUGAAAGACGGUCUUGCUGUCACUUAUAGAUGGAUCCGCGCUGCAUUAGCUAGUUGGUAAGGUAACGGCUUACCAAGGCAACGAUGCAUAGCCGACCUGAGAGGGUGGUCGGCCACACUGGAACUGAGACACAGUCCAGACUCCUACGGGAGGCAGCAGUAGGGAAUCUUCCGCAAUGGGCGAAAGCCUGACGGAGCAACGCCGCGUGAGUGAUGAAGGUCUUCGGAUCGUAAAACUCUGUUAUUAGGGAAGAACAUAUGUGUAAGUAACUGUGCACAUCUUGACGGUACCUAAUCAGAAAGCCACGGCUAACUACGUG
rnacentral:rRNA from 1 species